rnacentral:rRNA from 1 species
CUUUAUGGGAUAACCGGUUUGAAUUGCAGAAUCUCGUGAACCAUCGAGUCUUUGAACACAAGUUGCUCCCGAGGCCACACCUGCCUGGGCGUCA